AUGGUGGCUGCUCGGCGCUGCUGCACGGGAGGUGCCGGGCGCUGCUGUAGAGUAGACGGAGGAAGGAGGAGAGGUGAAUCGGGGAAGGUACAACCAUGGCGGCGGGGGGAACUGCGAACAACGGCGCCUGGCGCUGCAGCCGCAAUGACCGAAGCUACAUCCGGUGGCGCGCGGAGCUGCAACCGCAGCGACCUGGAGCUGCAACCGUGGCGGCGACCGGGAGCUAUGACGUCGAUGAUGCUGGAACCGACCAGUUUUUUUGCUGGAACGGGCGACAGGAGGUGCUACAACCGUGGCAGCAAAAUGUUGGAACCAACAGCCACGGCCUUCAGCAGAUGGGGAACCGGCUUUUUAAAAAGCUUCAACCAUGUACUGGGAAGCUGCAACCGCAUGCACGAGAGCUGCAAGCCGUCUACACCGGAGCUACAACCGGAGAGGUUGCGAGCACGAGCACUUGGAGUUGUAGCCGACGGCGACGUAUGCUGGACUGGAGAUGAUAAGUGCUUCAACGACGGGAGAUUGAAACCUGCUGCGAGGUCCGGCGAGCGGCAUCAAUGGAGGGGGCGUUGCUGGCCGUGA
rnacentral:rRNA from 1 species